UACGACUACAUAUCAGGCAUAUCAAUAAGCGGAGGAAAAGAAACUAACAAGGAUUCCCCUAGUAACGGCGAGUGAAGCGGGAAGAGCUCAAAUUUGAAAUCUUCAAGGUUCUACCUUGACGAAUUGUAGUUUAAAGAAGUGUUUUCGGUUAGAGGAGUAGUAAAAGUUCUUUGGAAUAGGACAUCAUAGAGGGUGAGAAUCCCGUAUUUGACUAUUCUUUCUAGCUUUGUGAUACACUUUCAAAGAGUCGGAUUGUUUGGGAAUGCAGUCCAAAAUGGGUGGUAAAUUUCAUCUAAAGCUAAAUAUUGGCGAGAGACCGAUAGCGAACAAGUACCGUGAGGGAAAGAUGAAAAGAACUUUGAAAAGAGAGUUAAACAGUACGUGAAAUUGUCAAAAGGGAAGCGUUUGACACCAGUGUUGUUUCUACGAAAAUCAAUUUAUGAUGGCUUGAUGCUAAGCUUUAAGACUUUAUCCGCUUGUUGUUUAGUUUUCUUGUCUUUGUGAAUGCACCUUUCGUGGAACAAGUCAACAUCAAUUUCUUUUGCUGUAAAAGGGUAAGAGGAAGGUGGCUUCGGCUUCGGUUGAAGUGUUUAUAGCCUUUUAUCUCUGCAGUCGGAGAGAUUGAGGUCUGCAGCGUAGACUCUUCGGGGUUAGAUACGUCGAUGCUAAGCUAUAGCUUUUCAUAGACAACUUGUUGACUAUGUUUAGUCAUGUGGCUUACCCGCUGGCGCUAUUUUACCUACGCUUAGGAUGUUGACACACGCGCGUGCUCG
rnacentral:rRNA from 1 species